rnacentral:rRNA from 1 species
UACGUAGGGGGCAAGCGUUGUCCGGAUUUAUUGGGCGUAAAGAGCUCGUAGGCGGUUUGUCGCGUCGGCUGUGAAAUCCCGAGGCUCAACCUCGGGCCUGCAGUCGAUACGGGGCAAACUAGAGUGUGGUAGGGGAGACUGGAAUUCCUGGUGUAGCGGUGAAAUGCGCAGAUAUCAGGAGGAACACCGAUGGCGAAAGGCAGGUCUCUGGGCCACUACUGACGCUGAGAAGCGAAAGCAUGGGGGAGCGAACAGG